rnacentral:lncRNA from 1 species
UUUUUUAAAUAACAAUAAUCUAAACAGAGAGAAGAAAAAAAAUGGUUGAUACAGAUUGCAAGAGGAAGAUGGUGUCACCGGACUUACCUAGCAAGCUCCACGUCACCAUCCCCUCGCCGUUCAAGCUCCCCGUCUCAUCCCCAAUCUCCUGCUCCGCUCCUUCCUCUUGCUCCGCCUACGAGCUCUACCUCCGUCUCCCCGAGCUCAGAAACCUCUGGUCAUCACGUGACUUCCCUCACUGGACGCACGAGCCUAUCCUCAAACCG